rnacentral:rRNA from 1 species
GCCUACGGGAGGCAGCAGUGAGGAAUAUUGGUCAAUGGGCGCGAGCCUGAACCAGCCAAGUCGCGUGAGGGAUGACGGCCCUACGGGUUGUAAACCUCUUUUGUCGGGGAGCAAAUUCCGUUACGUGUAACGGAGUCGAGAGUACCCGAAGAAAAAGCAUCGGCUAACUCCGUGCCAGCAGCCGCGGUAAUACGGAGGAUGCGAGCGUUAUCCGGAUUUAUUGGGUUUAAAGGGUGCGUAGGCGGAAUGCCAAGUCAGCGGUAAAAUCGCGGGGCUCAACCUCGCUCCGCCGUUGAAACUGGCGU